UACGAGGGGGGCGAGCGUUGUUCGGAAUUAUUGGGCGUAAAGGGCGCGUAGGCGGUGCGGUAAGUCACCUGUGAAACCUCUAGGCUUAACCUAGAGCCUGCAGGCGAAACUGCCGUGCUGGAGUGUGGGAGAGGUGCGUGGAAUUCCUGGUGUAGCGGUGAAAUGCGCAGAUAUCAGGAAGAACACCGGUGGCGGAAGGCGGGUCUCUGGGCAGUAACUGACGCUGAGGAGCGAAAGCGUGGGGAGCGAACGGG
rnacentral:rRNA from 1 species